rnacentral:lncRNA from 1 species
GAGCAACAGGUCUGGGAAAGCCUGACAGGUUGACAGGAGUGCGAGAGCACAGUUUGGGAGCCGCCAGGGGACGCCCUGCCUCGCGGCAUCUUGUCCGUUGCGUCUAGAUAACAGGCUUCGAAAACCCUAAUUUGAAAAGCCUUUCGGACAGCCCUUAACUCCACGUCCAUUGCGAGCGCUCACAGACGUCGGCCAUGACAGUUACAUCCGGGUAUGAUGAUGAGCCAAGUCCUGAGUCUCCCGGAAGUGACGCGACGCGGAAGGAUACGCGCUCGACCCAGGGAUGCUGAGGUGAAGUGGUCUCCGGAAGUGGGUGCAAUCUGACUCUGCUGGUCGGACUGGGCAGUAGGAGGAGCGUGGCCCAUGACACAAGCCCAGUCACUGUGCUUAAAGCCAACCCUGCUGUACCGUGUUCAACAAUCGGAGAGACAGAGGCUGUUGUGUUUAUUUCAUAUAUAUAUGGAGGAACUAAGAUUGAGAGAGGGCAAGCAAUUUAAGCCCAUACGAAUAGAAUUUGACCUAAGUCAGUAUUUCGUGAUGACUCCCUUUCUGGAAAAUUUAAAUUCCUAUACCUUGUCACCAUAGAUUGUUGCCUUUGCAAGCCUUUCUUCAGCAUAGUAGCCCAAGAAGUGGUACUUCAGCUCGCCCAUGAUUUUAAUUAAAUAUCUUUUUUUUUUAUUCUGACUUCAUUGGGGUUAUAGUACCUUCCCGUGUUAGGGAACAAACCUUGGGAAACUGUAGUUUUAAACAAUUUAUUUCAGACUCGGCACAAUAAAACUUUUGUCUUCUAUCAG